rnacentral:lncRNA from 1 species
UUAUUAAUUUUCAAGUCCAGUUAUCAAAUAGUUUUAUCAGUUAUCAAUUCGCUUUAUCAGUUACCAAACCAUGCUGUCCUCAACUGCCAUCAUCAGUUUCCUUUAUCAAUUAACAAACUGUUUUAUCAGUUAUCAAACAACUUUAUCUUAUCAAAUCACAUCACCAGCUUGUUUUAUUAAUUACCAAAGCAAAUGUUAUCGAAUGUUUUAUCCCUUCAUGACUUCCACAGCCUGGCUCCUCUCCUCCUGUGGGCACCAGGAGCUGCUCCCAGAUGAGUCCCUUCCCUGGAGUCCUUUGCUGGGCUCCCAUUUCCCAGCGCGUUUCCUGGGGUCCCUCUCCCAGGAUCCCCUUUGCAGUCCCGUUCCAGGGGGUCCCUUUGCCAGGGUCUCCUUUCUGGGGCCCUUCUGCCAGGCCCCCUUUCCAGGGGUCCAUUCCUGAGAUCCCUUUUCCAGGUCCCAUGUCCCUGUCUGGGAUCCCUUUCCCAGGUCCUUCUAUGGGAUCCCUUUUCCAGGUCCCUCUGUGGGAUCCCUUUUCCAGGAGUCCAUUCCUGGGAUCGCUUUUUCAGGGGUUCUCCUCUGGGAUCCUUUCCCAUGUCCCAUGUCCCUUUCUGGGAUCCUUUUCCCAGGUCCUUCUAUGGGAUCCCUUUUCUAGAGGUUCCUCUCUGGGAUCCCUUUCCAGGGUUCCAUUUCCUGAGAUCCCUUUCCAGGUCCCUGUCCAGGCUCCCUCUCCCAGGUGUCCUUUCCAGGGGUCCCUCUCUGGGAUCCCUUUCCAGGGUUCCAUUUCCUGGGAUCCCUUUCCAGGUCCCUCUCUGGGAUCCCU